CAUUCAAUCUAUUAAAAAUAAAAAAUCAGUUAAGUGAAAUCUAUAUUUUUAAAUAGAAUAAACCUAAAAAUGAAAAAUUAAAUUUUUUUUCAAAAUCUCAAUAUCCGAACCCAAUCCAAAAUAACCAAAUCUGAACUAAAAUACCCGAACCCGAUCCGAAGUAUAGAAAUACCCGAACGGGUUCAAUACCCCUAUACCGAAAUACCCAAAAUUCUGAAAUACCGGACCGACCCCGAACAGGUAUCCGACAAAUAAUCUUCUGCAUUUUUUUAUGUACACUUACUGUUUAAAACUAAAAAAAUUUAUAUUUAUUUCAAACUUAUUAAUAUCAUUAAAUUAUGAAACUAAUAUGAAAAUUAUUUGACAUAUAUAUAUAUGGAUGAUGAUGAUUUAUUAGCGAAGGAGAAAAAGAUAGUCUCCAUGUUUUAAUGUCAUUCUCGACUUUCCAUGUGGGGAAGAAACUUUAUAAUUUUAUACAAAAAUCUCUCCUCAAACCCAAAAUGCUAAUCUCUUUUGGCUUCUUCUUCAUUCUUCCCAGAUUCUCUGCAGAGGAGGAUCUAUGAAUCCAUCCCCUCCCCCUAUCUAAGCUCCUCUUCUUCGUCUUUUCCAUCGGUUACUCUGUUUCAGAAGAUUUUUUUGACUGAAGGCAUUCACUCUGUUUCAGAGGCUUCCAGAAGCAUCAAUGGCCGAAAGUUUAUCUGUUUAUACGGAAAGGCUAUCUCUUUCUACCGCUAUCUCUCAUCUAAUCUUUCGUGAUUUAAGCUUCUAGGUUACUAUGCAUGUUAGUUUUAUCAUUGGAAUCAACCUUCAAAAAUCUUCUCUUUUUUUCUUCAUAAGAUUUAAAGUUAUGGUUUUUUAAGCUCUAAAGGUUUACUUAUAUUCUCAGGUUUUAAUGUUUGAUGUAAACAUGACAGUGCAGAAAUUGUAAUAAAACAACCAAAGAGAUCACAUCUGUUCUUAAAGAUGAUAGUUUUGGUGUUUGCAAUGGUCUGUGGUCUCUAAAUUUGCUCCGUCUGCUUAAAACAGUUUAGUGUCCAAACCUCACAACUUGUUCGAACUCGUAUCACUACUCGAAUUCAUUACCCAAAGCCAGAGACUUUCAAUAGAGAUCAGGAAGCAGUUGGUUCGAAACAUUGGUUUGAUAUCUCUCCACCGAUUCGUUACCCAGUGCUUGAAAAUAUGACGACUACGAAUCAGUUAAAUGGAGAAGCUCCACUGGUUGUGUAGGUGGAAGCUCAAGCAACAACCGGAAACCUCGGCAUUAUCGGGAGUUAGCAUCGUUAUUUGCCAAAAUUUCCGCCGCAGAGAUGAAACGAUUCAAGAGAAACCCUCGAACAGAUCUAAGCAAAGCAUUGAAGACGAAUCGAGGAGGAGAGUCAAUAGGAUUUAACACGAAGCCAUUAAUCAAACCGUUGCAGGUAGGGAGACGAAUCGCAAAAGUCAUGCCUAGCCGUCGCACGAAGAGGAGCAAUGAAUUUCAUUUUCUCACUGCAGCCGUAUUAGGGAUAGACGGAACCCAUUCUCGUUGGGCCGGAAACACUUCUAAUCUCACAGCCCAUGAACACACUAAAGAACGAAACCGAAAAUGUUGAAGUUUAAUGAAACGUGCGGUUUGCCUUAUGGACACGUGUCAUUACGAUAUGAAAUGACUCAUCUACGUGGAUCCUAGGUGUCUUUCUAAGGAGAGAGCAAACCAUACUUUAUAUAAAUAGACUAGGGUCGGGGCGGGAUGUAUAUUAAAUAAAAAUUGAACCGGUAUAGUAUAUAUUUAACAUAUAUUUAUUACAGAAAACUAUACACACUAGUUAUUUUUUUACGUGUUUUGGUAUUAGCAGACUAAUAGAACUAUACAGUUAUAUUUAUAUAUUAUUUUUACAUGUAUUUAUUGUCUAUUAUGAGUGUUGAUCAUAUGAAGAGAAAGUUAUGGGCUUGGUAAUUGAAAUAUGCUAUCUUAUUAAUUUAAACUGUUGGUUAAUUUAUCUGUAAUUAUUUUUUUUAUUUUUUUGGAUUUCUGCUUAUACAUCAUAAUUUUGAAAUGUAUGCUAUUUGCGGUUGAAUAAUUUGUAUCAAAUAAUUUAUGUAUAUGACUUUCUUUGA